AAAAAGACAAACCCUGGUUUCCGUGUCCAAUGUUUGACCGUCCGUCUUAUUUGAAAAAAUUAUGAAAAAAAUUAAAAAGAUAAGUCACGCAUAAAGUAUUCAUCAUGUUUUAUCAUCUAACAACAAUGAAAAUACUAAUUAUAAAAAAAUUUCAUAUAAGACGGAUAGUCAAACAUUGGUACGUAAACCCGCGGUUUGCUUUUUU
rnacentral:pre_miRNA from 1 species